UAAUAAUAUGCACGUUUUUAUGCACGUAUUCAUAGAUCUAACAUACAAUGUUACAACAUUCGAUGUUGUUUUGCGAUUCCGUAAAAGAGAAAAAAUUAAUCAUUUAAGUACGGCAGACUCGUACGCUUCGUAAUAGUCCAUUUAAAACUAGCUUUCUAUCUCGUUUAGAGAUACGAAUCGAAAGGGGAAGAAGGGUAGAGAAGAGAACGCACGUCCACAUCCUUUGCGGUUGACUACCGAAGGGGAAUACCAGAGGCGUAAUUUGUAUGCGUGGAGAUGUGCUCGCUAUUUACAUAUGUAUAAAUGUCGCGUUAACGUAUCUCGGUCUCCUUAUUUUGCGAGCAUCAUCAUCGUUCGGGGCUUUUUUCGUUCUUUCUCUAUCGCGUCAUUCUCCUCUCGCGUCUUUCUCCUUCCCCUUCCUCUUACUUUACCUCUUUUUCUUUAUAUAUAAACGAGGAGAAAAAAAGGCAAGGGAAGGAAAGAGAUACCUAAAUGUGUUCUGUGUUUCGGUGAAAUAAAUAUAAUUAUUUUAUGUUAUUAAUAUCAUUUUAUACAAAUUCGCUAUGCUACUUACAUUUCUCGCUUAAUUCGACGGUUCCAGUUAGCUCGAUUUUAACGAAAUACCCUGUCUGAUAUUUAUCAUUUCGCUCGUUGUUUAUUUUUCUUUCUCUUUGCUACUUAAUAAAAUGAGAUUUAUAUAAAAGGCACGUUCCGAAUUUGAGAUACUUUGUGCUGUACGUAAACUUGAGAUCACAGAGAUUGAUAUUUGAUAUAUUAAGAUAUCUAAUUUUUUUUUCUCUUUUUUUCUUUCGAUAAUCACUUAUUAUUUGGCACGAUUAAUCGAUACUGAGAUUAUUAACGACUCUUAGAAUGAAAAUAUUGUGAUGAACGACACGAAGAUUGUUAGAGCUUUUUCAAGCACGAUACUAUAUGAAAUUAAAAGAAGAAGAAGAAGAAGAAGAAAAAGUUGGAAAUAUUAAAACGACGGUGGAACAAUCGGUAGAAUAAUUAUCACAGCGUUGUAUCGAGAUUAAUGAUUUAUCGACGAGUACGAUACGAUGAUAUCUAUAAAUACAUGAAAAUCUUAAAGGAAUUGUCCAGAUCGAGAAAUAGACCGAACGAAACGUUUCCUUCGCAGUAAUAUCAGUAGUAUAUCGUGCAAGUCAGAAUCGUUGGAAAAUAAUACAACUGACUUAAACAUGAAGGUGAUAUAUUAAAUGGAAAUCAGACAACAACAAAAAAA